UUUAACUUCUUUUAUCUGUUCUCCUGAUUUUAGGAUAUGUGUGAAUGAUUUUUUAUGUAUAGUUCUCGUCUUGUUCUUUUUAUGUGUGAGAGGAUUUGGCUCGCAUGGUUUUUAGCGUUAGGGUGGUCAUUUUUACGCUAAAACUGAACAACUGAAAAGGCUAUUCUCGCCAUUUGGUCACAUUCAAGAAGAACUGCUUGGUCUUUUUGUCCAAGCAAUUGAGAAAGGUUCUUGAUGGAUUGCUCAUAGUUAUGUAUAAAUAUAACUCAUGCAGUAAGGUUUACUGGACCCCAGAACCCAAAGGCCCUUAAAGGAAGAUUACUCGUUGGGACUGCCCGACCUGGGGAAAUCACCUCGUUAGUGUACUCUGAUUUUUUUGGGCACAAGAGAUCUGUAAGAGAUAUCCAGCAUAGUACCUAAAUAAUCAAUAUGGUUCAAGUCAUGGCAUUUUCACAGUUUUCUUUGCUGCUAUUGGCUCCAUUUCAACGAUGCACUUCAAGGCAAGGACAGUUUCCUAUUGGCCGAAGCCGGGCGUCAAUGAUAAUAACUAAACCUAUGUGUUCACUAACAACUAGGCUUGCUACAUUUUGAACCACUUUUGAGCAAAAGCGACUUUUUUGGGGACUAGAGUUGGUGUUGUUUCAGACUCUAACAUGCCUACCACCUUUACAGUUGAUUCCUGUCGGGGAGGUAUUGAUAUUCUACUGGAUUCUGGUGGAUCAAAUGACAAUUUUGGUGGUGUGAGUGGCAACAGUGGUGGUGGUGGAGGCGGUAAUGCUGAUAAUGAUGACAACAGUAAAGGGGGCUUGGAUGGAAGUGAAGAUCAAAAUGGGGCAGCAAGAGAAGUCAUUGGCAGCAGGUACAUCAGUAUUGUACUGCAUUUACACUUUACUUCCAUAAAAUCUUGUUUUGGCAUCGACUCUGGGUCUUGGACUGUCUGCUUCUCUUCUUGGAGUGAUGGGUUCUCGCUUCAAGAAGUCAGAGAAGAUCUUUCCGACUGACAACGUUGGGAUGACUCUAAUUCACUCUAAACAAAUUGUAGAGUAUAAGGCUCCACAAAAAAAAUAACACCUUCCUACAACUAAUAUAACUCUCUUAUAGGAUAUUUGCAUGUAGAAUAUCUUGC